GAUGAACGCUAGCGGCAGGCCUAACACAUGCAAGUCGAGGGGUAACUAGAGUGAUAGCAAUAUUACUUUGGCUAGACCGGCGCACGGGUGCGUAACACGUAUGCAACCUACCUUAUACUGGGGAAUAACUUCGAGAAAUCGGCGCUAAUACCCCAUAACAUUGCGAAGAGGCAUCUCUUUGCAAUUAAAGCUCCGGCGGUAUAAGAUGGGCAUGCGUCCAAUUAGCUAGUUGGUGAGGUAACGGCUCACCAAGGCUACGAUUGGUAGGGGUUCUGAGAGGAUGAUCCCCCAAACUGGUACUGAGACACGGACCAGACUCCCACGGGAGGCAGCAGUGAGGAAUAUUGCGCAAUGGACGAAAGUCUGACGCAGCCAUGCCGCGUGCAGGAUGACGGCCCUAUGGGUUGUAAACUGCUUUUGUACGGGAAUAAACCCUUCUACGUGUAGGAGGCUGAAGGUACCGUAAGAAUAAGCACCGGCUAACUCCGUGCCAGCAGCCGCGGUAACAC
rnacentral:rRNA from 1 species